GCCCGAUGUGAGCGUUCUGAAGACACAUGGCACAUAUGUGUGUACAUGCAUCUGGAAGCCAAGACUCAAUGGGCUCCUUCAUUGCUCUCGUCUGAGUAUUUUUAAAACAAACUCUGUCACGGAACCAGUGUAAAACUGCCUUGUCCACAAGCCCCUGGAAUCCACGCGUCUCUGCUUCCCCAGCCCUAGAAUCACAGGAGAACACCACUGCAGCCAGCUGGUUAGAGGUAUAGACUGUUGCUAUCUAGAAUCAGAAGCUGUGGCAUACUGCAACUGUUUCCAUAGUUCCUGGAGGCUACUUUGUAUCCAUCUUGUUCAUCAAACCCUCAGCUCCUGCUUCACCGUAAGGAUGACAAUGAUGUCGAAGACGAAGAUGAUGCUAUGGAUGCUAUUAC
rnacentral:lncRNA from 1 species